UCCUAGUGAUGAUAUGCAAUGGCACAAGAUCUUUGUCUUUACAUUCUUGGUUGUUGGCGAGUUUCAUGUAUCACAUUCCUUGUGUACCUAACACCACCACAACUCAAUGCAAGAUCAGAUCAUCCCAUUGGGAUCAAACCAAGAUUAUCCAUCCUGUUUGAUCACCAAUGCCACAAUAAUAUAGGAUACUUGAGACAAGCUAGACAAUCAAGACAAUCAAGCAAAGACAAUCAAUUCAGUUUUGUUUUCUUCUUUUUUUUUUAAAUGCAACAAUAGAUGAAUGCAUUAGGUUACACACUAACUAUAUGAAUGAAACAGAUUCAAUCCAAAUGGAACACAAGUCUAGAUGAUACUUAUGCAAUCAAGACGACAAGAGUGACUCAAUUCAUGCUUAUGCUCACUAGUUUUAUCAAAGCCAAUGAUUCAAGUAGCUUAGACAUACUACUAUUUGCUUAUAAUACAUCACUGAUGGAUUUAACUAUGGCAUAGCAACAAUCAGAACUGGACUGAGUCAAGACAAGCAGAUUUCAAUUUCUAACAAUGACAAUGCAAGUUCUAUACAGUUCUCUAAAUGCAAAGCUUAUAUCAGUACAUUUGCAAUUUAGGCUCAUUU
rnacentral:lncRNA from 1 species